rnacentral:rRNA from 1 species
CUGCUGCCUUCCGUAGGAGUCUGGGCCGCGUCUCAGUCCCAAUGUGGCCGUCCACCCUCUCAGGCCGGCUACUGAUCGUCGCCUUGGUGGGCCUUUACCCCGCCAACCAGCUAAUCAGACGCGGGUCCAUCCCAUACCACCUUGGUUUUCAAACAAAAAGCAUGCGCUUUCUGUUGUUAUGCGGUAUUAGCACCUAUUUCUAAGUGUUAUCCCCCUGUAUGGGCCAGGUUACCCACGCGUUACUCACCCGUCCGCCACUAAGCCUUUCCCUUUUCCG